UGCAGACUAGCAGACUGUAGUCUCACCAUAGUACACUGUGAAACUCUCUGCUCUGCUCUGAAAUCAGAAAACUCCUUCCUGAUAGAGCUGGACCUCAAAAAAAAAAACCUGCAGGAUUCAGGAGUGGAGCUGCUCUCAGCUGGACUGAAAGGUUCACACUGUAAACUGCAGACACUCAGACUGCCAUUCUGUCAUCUUGGUGAAAAGACGUGUGAAACUUUGGGAUCAGUUGAAAAACUCCUCCCUGAAAGAUCUGGACCUCAGUAACAAUGAUCUGCAGGACUUAGGAGUGGAGCUGCUCUCUGCUGGACUAAAGAGUUCACACUGUAAACUGCAGACACUUGGAUUAAUAUAUGGUUGUAUGAUCACAGAAGAAGGCUGUGUUUCUCUGGCUACUGCACUGAAUUCAAACCCCUCCCACCGGAAAGAACUGGAUCUGACCUACAACCAUCCAGGAGAUUCAGGAGUAAAGCUGCUCUCUGCUAGACUGCAGGAUCCACACUGCACACUCAACACACUCAGGGUGGAACAUGGAGGGAAAAUCAGAAUCAAACCAAAGAAAUCAAAGAAAUAUGGCUGUGAUUUUACACUGGAUCCAAACACAGUACACCCUAGUCUAGGGUGACCUAGUGAGGACACCCUAGUUAGGACAACAGGACGGUGAUGAGAGGAGAGAAGCUGCAGUCGUAUCCUGAUCAUCCAGAGAGAUUUGAUAAGUGGGAGCAGGUUCUGAGUAGAGAGAGUGUUACUGGGCGCUGUUACUGGGAGGCUGAGUGGAGCGGCAGAGGAGUUUUUGUAUCUGUAAGUUAUAAAACCAUCAGCAGGACAGGAGAAGAAUCAAACUGUCGGUUUGGAGGAAAUAUAAACUCCUGGUGUCUGAGCUGCUCUGAUUACAGUUACUCUGUUCAUCACAAUCUGAACUACACUAAACUCCGCCCUCCUCCCUCUGGCUGUAGGAAAAUAGGAGUGUAUGUGGACUGUCCUGCCGGCAUUCUGUCCUUCUACGGCGUCUCCUCUAAUACACACACACUUAUACACAUUCAGCACCACCUUUACUCAGCCCCUCUAUGCAUGAUUCACUAUUCAUGAAGACUCCUCAGUGUCUGUGUGUGAGAUAGAUUAACCUUCCCUCUGUUUGUGAGCGUGAGUAUGAGAGAGUAUGAGUAAGUAGGACUGUAAGUGUGAGUAUGAGUGUAGUGAUGUCAGGGCCCUGGUCAUAUCACCACCUACUCAAAACACUUGAGAACAUAAAACACAGACAUUGAUAAGAUUGACAUAGUACUUACCUGGUUCCUGAAGGAAUGGCAGCGCACGAGCCACCAAGGUUCUUAAGGACUUGGUAGAGAACAAGGGUCUGAAAAAAAGAGGAAAACAAUGUAAAAACAUCUGAACAUUGCAUAAUAUACUUUCCUAAAAGUCCAAAGUGUUGCAUGCAUGUAUUCUAUUAUGUAAAUAAUUUAAAAUAACUCUUGCCCACCUGCUUGCAAUGUAAUUAUCUAAUGGUUUAAUAUGGGGUGAGCUAUUUGAGUAUUUAAGAGCAGGUGGGCACGCUAAAGGGGGUUUCUCUAGAUUAAGCAUGACUUUAUGCCGAUAGGAAAUUGUUGGAUUGGGAGCACUUUGAGCAAGUUGCUCAAGUGUCGAGAAGGUGGUAGCUACAGUGCCACUGUAGCAGAUAGCUUGGAAAACAAUUCUUCCUCUCUCUGUCUAUUUUGCCUUUGUCUUCCUCACAGAGUUGAGGAAUGCCAAGUAAUUUCCCUUCAUCUCAAUGUGAAGAACUUCAAAAAAGUAACCGAUCAAUGGCCAAUCCAGUUUACAGCCCAUUUUUCUGGGCCAGGUUUAAAACUAACCAUAGUAUUAACACUCUAUGUCAGCAAUUGAGUUUUUCAAAACAACAAUCAUAAAAGCAUUAUGGAUAGAAUGUUUACUUCUCUUCCACCCAAUUGAGACUAGAUAAGACUCCAUAAAAGCACCAUAAAAUUUACACACACACACAAACCCUUCAAACCACAAACACUCUGUGACCCUUCAAUGAAAUUAUCAAACUGUUAGAAAUGUGAUGUGCAACUCUGUCGGAAAGGAACUUUCUUGGAGCAGUACUCUUCACAACAAUGUUUUGUAUUGCUCUUAAUUUUCCACGAAUCAAGACACAUUCCAGUGUUUUGAAGGACUUGUAAUCAAAUCGUAAUCCUAAGGCUUUUCCUUUUUAGGAUAUGCACUGAUAUGCAACUUAAUGUGUAAGGUGAUUGGGCCUUAGUGUAAUGCCACAAACUCAGGGAACAUAUCAUAAUCUUAGGAUCAACAUGCCAUUAGGGGGCACACCUCAAAUAAGAAACUGGGACACAGCAGUUUAGUGCAAUGUGUUUUCGGGAAGCAGUGUAGAUGUCACUUUUAGCUUACGGCUGUAGCUGUUUUUUUUUUUUUUUUUAGGAUUAAUGAUUUUUGUUAGUAAUCUUUACGAACAGUUAUUUUUGACUAAUUAAGUUCAGGUCAAGCUUACAACGCUGACCUCACCAAGGUCCGAGUGCAUUAGCACUAUUAGUCAACUAAGUUUUUUAUCUUUUUUUUUUAAAUACUUGUGUUAUGGAGCUUUUUCUGGUUUACU